rnacentral:lncRNA from 1 species
ACAUUUUUCCGCUGUUUAACAUAUAUAAAAAAAAAAUAUAACACCACAGAUGAUUCAGACAUCCCAAGACCUCAUAUAACUAAUUUUAAACCAUAGUUUAUAUGAAAAACUAUAUGGUUCCGAGGAUUAAGCAGCUAGAUGAGGGAAAGGGGUUUGCGAAAUUUGAAGAUUCAAACAAUAAUUACACAACACACUGAGCUAACACAACAGAUGUUUCAGACAUCCCAACAACUCAUAUAACCAAGUUCAAACCAAAGAAUAUAUAUUAACGACCAUAGUAUAUUAAAAAUAAAUAAUAAUUACACAACACACUGAGCUUUGAAUUUCAUACGCCAAAUCUAAUCUAUCAGACGAAGAAAUAAACUUACUUUUUCUAAAACCAGAUCUUCAAAAUGUCAAAACUUCAGUACAAACUAAUAGAGCCCAGAUCGUGAUUUAGCACUUACAGGAACAAAUUGACGAAAAAGAGAUAGAUUUACACUACAAAU